rnacentral:tRNA from 2 species
GGCCAGAUGCCCGAGCGGUUAAGGGGAUAGACUCGAAUCAACCGCGACUCGCUAUCUAUUAGGCUUUGCCUGCGCAGGUUCAAGUCCUGCUCUGGUCG